rnacentral:rRNA from 1 species
AUUGAACGCUGGCGGCAUGCCUUACACAUGCAAGUCGAACGGUAACAGGUCUUCGGAUGCUGACGAGUGGCGAACGGGUGAGUAAUACAUCGGAACGUGCCUAGUAGUGGGGGAUAACUACUCGAAAGAGUGGCUAAUACCGCAUGAGAUCUACGGAUGAAAGCAGGGGAUCGCAAGACCUUGUGCUACUAGAGCGGCCGAUGGCAGAUUAGGUAGUUGGUGGGAUAAAAGCUUACCAAGCCGACGAUCUGUAGCUGGUCUGAGGGGACGAUCAGCCACACUGGUACUGAGACCCGGCCCAGACUCCUACGGGAGGCAGCAGUGGGGAAUUUUGGACAAUGGGCGCAAGCCUGAUCCAGCAAUGCCGCGUGCAGGAUGAAGGCCUUCGGGUUGUAAACUGCUUUUGUACGGAACGAAAAGCCCUGGGUUAAUACCCUGGGGUCAUGACGGUACCGUAAGAAUAAGCACCGGCUAACUACGUGCCAGCCGCCGCAGUAACAC